rnacentral:rRNA from 1 species
GGAGUCUGGGCCGUGUCUCAGUCCCAAUGCGGCCGAUCAACCUCUCAGUUCGGCUACAGAUCGUCGCCUUGGUGGGCCGUUACCUCACCAACUAGCUAAUCUGACGCGAAUCCAUCCAUAAGCGAUAAAUCUUUCAUAAUCCCGCCAUGCGGCAGGUUUACAAUAUGCGGUAUUAGUCCACGUUUCCAUGAAUUAUUCCACUCUUAUGGGCAGGUUAUUCACGCGUUACUCGCCCGUCCGCCACUAAGUUACAAUAUCUUCGCCCCGAAGGACUCCGUUAAAGCAACUCCGUUCGACUUGCAUGUGUUAGGCACGCCGCCAGCGUUCAUC